rnacentral:tRNA from 1 species
AAGAGGCCUGAAGCAAUAAGGACUGCUAAUCCUUUACCCCCGCAGUUAAACUCCG